AGCCCUCACAUUCCUUACCCAUCAGCCCUACACACUGGUCUGAGUGGUUAUAGAAGGAGGAAAAAAUAAAACGGAAACGGACUUCGAUUUUUUCCCAAAAAA
rnacentral:snoRNA from 1 species